CGUUGAGUACAGAAAAAAUGGAAGCAGCAAGAAAGAGUAGUUCACAGAGCUGCCAAAAGAGGCCACUGUGAAGAUAAGAUGAAGGCAAAAUAUAAUAAUAAUCAGAUUUCUUUAGGCAUCAAAAAGAUUAUAAGUAUGACACCGGAAAAAUAGUUCUUUCUGCAAAUCCUCUUCAGUGGUGUGGUUUAAUGAAAACUCUGUAAUCUCCUUUCCAAGAGGACCAUAAUUUUCUUGAAUUCUAGGAAGCUGAAGAUAAAAAUCCUUAACGAUGUAUCCUUAUACUAUCUACAACAUACAGGACUCAGGGACACCCACACAGGGAGAAUCUCAUGUGAAGCCUGAAGGUAUGCUGCCAUAAGGCAAGGAACUGCAAGCAACUAAGAGACAGACCUGGAACAGAUCCUUGCCUAGAGCCAUCAGAGGGAACACGGCCCUGCCGACGCUGGGAUCUCAGACUUGCAGCCUCCAGAAUGACUAAUGGCAUUUUAAAUGAGAUGUGAAAUUUGGACUUUACUACUGCAGACCUUUGGCUAUCUAGUCAAAGA
ensembl:lncRNA novel transcript